AACCCCUGUCCUUUGUUGCCAGCACGUAAUGGUGGGAACUCAAGGGAGACUGCCGGUGAUAAACCGGAGGAAGGUGGGGAUGACGUCAAGUCAUCAUGGCCCUUACGGCCAGGGCUACACACGUGCUACAAUGGCGCGUACAGAGGGCUGCAAGCUAGCGAUAGUGAGCGAAUCCCAAAAAGCGCGUCGUAGUCCGGAUCGAAGUCUGCAACUCGACUCCGUGAAGUCGGAAUCGCUAGUAAUCGCAAAUCAGAAUGUUGCGGUGAAUACGUUCCCGGGCCUUGUACACACCGCCCGUCACACCAUGGGAGUGGGUUGCACCAGAAGUAGAUAGCUUAACCUUCGGGAGGGCGUUUACCACGGUGUGAUUCAUGACUGGGG
rnacentral:rRNA from 1 species